rnacentral:rRNA from 1 species
GACGAACGCUGGCGGCGUGCUUAACACAUGCAAGUCGAACGGUGAAGCGCCUUCCUUUUUGGUGGGUGUGGAUGAGUGGCGAACGGGUGAGUAACACGUGAGUAACCUGCCCCCUUCUUCUGGAUAACCGCAUGAAAGUGUGGCUAAUACGGGAUAUUCUGGGUCUGUCGCAUGAUGGGUCUGGGAAAGAUAUUGUUUCGGUGGGGGAUGGGCUCGCGGCCUAUCAGCUUGUUGGUGGGGUGAUGGCCUACCAAGGCGGUGACGGGUAGCCGGCCUGAGAGGGUGGACGGUCACACUGGGACUGAGACACGGCCCAGACUCCUACGGGAGGCAGCAGUGGGGAAUAUUGCACAAUGGGCGCAAGCCUGAUGCAGCGACGCCGCGUGAGGGAUGGAGGCCUUCGGGUUGUGAACCUCUUUCGCCAGUGAAGCAGGCCUGCCUCGUUUGUGGGUGGGUUGAGGGUAGCUGGAUAAGAAGCGCCGGCUAACUACGUG